rnacentral:rRNA from 1 species
UUGGCUCAGGAUGAACGCUGGCGGCGUGCUUAACACAUGCAAGUCGAGCGAAGCACUCUGGAAGAUUCCUUCGGGAUGAUUCCUUAGUGACUUAGCGGCGGACGGGUGAGUAACGCGUGGGCAACCUGCCUUGUACAGGGGGAUAACAGUUAGAAAUGACUGCUAAUACCGCAUAAGCGCACAGCAUGGCAUCAUGCAGUGUGAAAAACUCCGGUGGUACAAGAUGGGCCCGCGUUGGAUUAGCUUGUUGGUGGGGUAACGGCCCACCAAGGCGACGAUCCAUAGCCGGACUGAGAGGUCGAACGGCCACAUUGGGACUGAGACACGGCCCAGACUCCUACGGGAGGCAGCAGUGGGGAAUA